rnacentral:ncRNA from 1 species
UGAUAGCGAUGAAGCGUGAGGUUGCCGCGCGGGAGCGCGGGUUUUCCGUGGAGCGAAUGUCAAGUUAGCAAACUGGCGACAA